CGUAGGUGGCAAGCGUUGUCCGGAAUUAUUGGGCGUAAAGCGCGCGCAGGCGGUCCUUUAAGUCUGAUGUGAAAGCCCACGGCUCAACCGUGGAGGGUCAUUGGAAACUGGGGGACUUGAGUACAGAAGAGGAAAGCGGAAUUCCACGUGUAGCGGUGAAAUGCGUAGAGAUGUGGAGGAACACCAGUGGCGAAGGCGGCUUUCUGGUCUGUAACUGACGCUGAGGCGCGAAAGCGUGGGGAGCAAACAGGAUUAGAUACCCUGGUAGUCCACGCCGUAAACGAUGAGUGCUAAGUGUUAGGGGGUUUCCGCCCCUUAGUGCUGCAGCUAACGCAUUAAGCACUCCGCCUGGGGAGUACGGCCGCAAGGCUG
rnacentral:rRNA from 1 species